AAAUUGUACUCUGUACAUCUUGCAUGUAUAAGUCAGGUAUGAAAGGCUGAUCACCUUCAUUACCAGUUGGUUCAGAAAUGUUUGUUCAUGUUUAAAACUUGUUCAGUCAAAAGUUUGUUCCUGCUAGUUCUCAAUUAUAUUGAUGAAUUAUAGCCAGCUUAUUAUUCAUACUCUUCAAUCAUGAUAUAUCGUUGUAUUGUUGUAUUUAAACUUGCUGGGCAACUUUCAUGCUCACCCUUGCUAUAUCACGAUAAAACAUUGCAGAUAAGGAAAAUGCGUUCGGAUACAGGAAAAGAUAAUGCCAAGUUCAACUUGGGAUAAAUGGUGCAGCUAUUUUGUAAUAGUAUAGUCUGAUAAAUGUGAUAAAUGUUAGAUCAUUUAUGAUUGUGUAAUAAGUAAAGGUUACUCGACCUUGGGGAAUAGUGUGUAAUGUAAUGUAUAAACAAUUUAUGUUUAUAUCUUCCGCAAA
rnacentral:lncRNA from 1 species